GAUGAACGCUGGCGGCGUGCCUAAUACAUGCAAGUCGUGCGAAUGGAUUAAGAGCUUGCUCUUAUGAAGUUAGCGGCGGACGGGUGAGUAACACGUGGGUAACCUGCCCAUAAGACUGGGAUAACUCCGGGAAACCGGGGCUAAUACCGGAUAACAUUUUGAACCGCAUGGCUCGAAAUUGAAAGGCGGCUCCGGCUGUCACUGAUGGACGGACCCGCGUCGGAUUAGCUAGUUGGUGAGGUAACGGCUCACUAAGGCAACGAUGCGUAGCCUACCUGAGAGGGUGAUCGGCCAAACUAGGACUGAGACACGGACCAGACUCCUGCGGGAGGAAGCAGUAGGGAAUCUUCCGAAAUGGACGAAAGUCUGACGGAGCAACGCCGCGUGAGUGAUGAAGGCUUUCGGGUCGUAAAACUCUGUUGUUAGGGAAGAACAAGUGCUAGUUGAAUAAGCUGGCACCUUGACGGUACCUAACCAGAAAGCCACGGCUAACUACGUGCCAGCCGCCGCCGUAA
rnacentral:rRNA from 1 species